rnacentral:misc_RNA from 1 species
GCUCUUCUUUCGGUUCAUCGAUAAUGCUGCAAUCAUGAGGUCUUGAGUCAGACACAAGUUGGCGUCUUCGCGUCAUCAUAACAUUUUACUUAGAACGAGCUUUCGGACAAUUGAAUUAUAUGCUAUUUUAGAUUCAAGUCGCCGAAGGUGGACUUAAGGGAAAAUUGUGCAAGACAGCCGAGAGUUUUUCACUCAAAAGGAGUUGUCAUGACUACAGUAACAGAUAUCGACCAGUAUACCAUUGAGGGUUACAAUGACCAGUACACAGUACCAGAGAUAAACAAACGAGACAUGGCCAGACUGGAGCUCAUGGUGUGUGGAAACGAAGGAACAGUUGGGGAUAGAAAACAAGAGGAGUUAAGAAAACUGUUUCAUGCAGCAAUUGACCAAAUACAAAAAGAAAAACGUGAGGUUUGGAAAAAUGCUAAGGUUGUCAUUCAGGACAUGUACGGACAGUCAAUAACUAUAACCUCUGGAGGCGGGGCUUAUACAUUUACUGUUCAACAUAAUAUGAAGGGAGAAAUACAAGUGUACAGAAAAGGAAAACCUAUGUGUUCAAAAUUCAAAGGGUAUUUUCUAUCUCUGAUUUGUUCUCCGAGGAGACAUCUUGCCAUCAAUCAAGCAAGACAUUAAUGAUUUUAAAUCAUGAUAUGUAUAAACAAUUAAAAAAAGAACAUGGUUGCAUGUAUAUGAUUUUUACUUCGCUGUAUACACAGAACAAUAAAACUGAUAAAAAUCUCUCAAACUCCUUUUUGUUGGUUUUAUCA